rnacentral:rRNA from 1 species
AUGCAAGUCGAGCGGAAAGGCCCCUUCGGGGGUACUCGAGCGGCGAACGGGUGAGUAACACGUGAGCAACCUGCCCCUGACUCUGGGAUAAGCCCGGGAAACUGGGUCUAAUACCGGAUGUGACCAGCCUCCGCAUGGAGUGCUGGUGGAAAGUUUUUCGGUUGGGGAUGGGCUCGCGGCCUAUCAGCUUGUUGGUGGGGUGAUGGCCUACCAAGGCGACGACGGGUAACCGGCCUGAGAGGGCGACCGGUCACACUGGGACUGAGACACGGCCCAGACUCCUACGGGAGGCAGCAGUGGGGAAUAUUGCGCAAUGGGCGGAAGCCUGACGCAGCGACGCCGCGUGAGGGAUGACGGCCUUCGGGUUGUAAACCUCUUUCAGCAGGGACGAAGCUAACGUGACGGUACCUGCAGAAGAAGCGCCGGCUAACUACGUGCCAGCAGCCGCGGUAAUACGUAGGGCGCAAGCGUUGUCCGGAAUUAUUGGGCGUAAAGAGCUCGUAGGCGGUUUGUCGCGUCUGUCGUGAAAGCCCACGGCUUAACCGUGGGUCUGCGGUGGAUACGGGCAGACUAGAGGCAGGUAGGGGAGAAUGGAAUUCCCGGUGUAGCGGUGAAAUGCGCAGAUAUCGGGAGGAACACCGGUGGCGAAGGCGGUUCUCUGGGCCUGUACUGACGCUGAGGAGCGAAAGCGUGGGG